rnacentral:lncRNA from 1 species
CAGUAUGUAGAUGGCAUACUUUUGUGUGCCUCUACUCAAAAGAAAUGUCAGGAAGCUACUAAAGAACUUUUAAACUUCUUAGCUGAUAAGGGUUAUAAAGUCUCAAAGAAAAAAGCUCAAUUGUGCCAAAAACAAGUUCAAUAUUUAGGAUUACAGCUGUCUCAAGGAACUCGCAAGCUAGUACCAAAAAGAAUAACCCCUAUAGGACAGUAUCCUCUACCUCAAACCAUAAAACAACUUAGAGGCUUCCUAGGGAUAACUGGAUAUUGUAGGCUUUGGAUCCCUGGAUAUGAGGAAAUAGCUAAGCCUCUCUAUAGCCUCCUCAAAGAGACACUACGCCAAGGAACGACUUCCCUGAUAUGGGAACUAGAACAGAUUAAAGCCUUCAAGGCAUUAAAAGGGGCCUUACUCCAAGCCCCUGCCCUCAGCUUACCUACUGAGCAAAAAUUCAACCUAUUUGUCACUGAGAGAGGAAGAAUAGCCCUGGGAGUGGUCACACAAAAGAAGGGACCAGCUCAACAGCCAGUAGCUUUCUCAGUAAUGAGCUUGAUCUAGUG